CCCCUCUCAGGGUCAUGCCUGGAGAGUUUCCAGUAUUCUACCAGUCACGACUACAGGAGGGAGAAUCAAGCAGAGGCCUACACAUUCCAUUCCUAGCUUGAGCAGUGGCUAGCAAGUGGAAAGCUCCCUGUUACAAGU